UACGUAGGGUGCGAGCGUUUAAUCGGAAUUACUGGGCGUAAAGCGUGCGCAGGCGGUUUUGUAAGCCAGAUGUGAAAGCCCCGGGCUUAACCUGGGAAUGGCAUUUGGGACUGCAAGGCUUGAGUGCGGCAGAGGGAGACUGGAAUUCCUGGUGUAGCAGUGAAAUGCGUAGAUAUCAGGAGGAAUACCGAUGGCGAAGGCAGGUCUCUGGGCUGACACUGACGCUCAUGCACCGAAAGCGUGGGGAGCAA
rnacentral:rRNA from 1 species